rnacentral:rRNA from 1 species
AUGCUUUCCAUUUUCCCCAAACUCUCCAAGCAAAUCCCAUUUCCGCCGGUCCUCCCUUCGCCAAGCCGUCGGCGACUGCUGCAGCACAGCCUCCUCCCCCUCCUCAUGGCCGACCCCUCCCCCUCCUCCCCCACGGCGGCCUCCGCCGGCGACGCCCUCCUCGCGCCGGACGCGACCCUCCCCGCCGCCGCCGCCCCCGACCUGGACAAGGAGUUCGGGUUCCAGCGGGCGGAGCUCGGUAAGGAGAAGCUCGCCGGGACGGUCGGCUUCCACGAGCGCCACGUGUUCCUCUGCUACAAGGGCCCUGAGGAGUGGCCGUCCCACGUCGAGGCCUCCGAGUCCGACCACCUCCCCCGGCACCUCGCCGCCGCCAUCAAGGCCCGCAAGCCCAAUCUGAAGAAGAGCGUGUACGUGCAUGAUUUGUAUGGUGCAUUUGAAUGCAGAAGUUCCGCUUCUUUAUUCCUUUAUGUGGUCUUUGCUCCUUGGUAUUGGAUGACCAAACUGACAAUUUGUGAAGGAGGAGAUGGCACUGAGUCAUCUCUUGGAGACGUGUUGAUCUUUCCUGAUAUGAUCCGAUACAGAGAGCUGAUCCACCUUGAUGUCGACAACUUUGUGGAAGAAGUACUCGUGAAAGAUACUGAAUGGCUUCCUGGAUCUCCUGAGGCUAUAAAAGGUUCCUUUGUUUUUGUCUGCUGCCAUGGAAGCAGGGAUAAAAGGUGUGGUGUUUGCGGUCCUGCUCUGAUUACAAGGUUCAAGGAAGAGAUUGAAGGACAAGGUCUUGAUGGUCAGGUGGCUGUUAGUGCAUGCUCACACGUUGGAGGUCACAAGUAUGCAGGAAAUGUCAUCAUAUUCAGUCCAGAUGCCAAGGGAGAAGUGACUGGUCAUUGGUAUGGUUAUGUUGCUCCUGAUGAUGUGCCUGUGUUACUGCGUCAACAUAUCGGACAAGGAGAGAUUGUGGGCCAUCUAUGGAGGGGCCAGUUGGGUUUGUCUGAAGAGCAGCAGAAGAAAGCUCUGGAGCUUAGGCACGCGACGAAUGGCCUGACUGAGGAAGAAUCAAGCGCCAAAGAAUCCCCUGAAGCAAAUGGAACCAACGGUGCUGCUUGCAACCCUGCACCUGCAGGUGGAUGCUGCCAGGGCAAUGGAGGAGGGUUAACCUGCUGCCAAAGUGAUGUGCCAGAAGCAAAACAGGAUAAGAACAUUCCAGCUGAGCAGAACCACAAGAGCUCUACGACAGAGAGUGACAAAGAAAACGGUGCUGCCAGCAAGAAGGGGCGCAUGAAGAUUUGCCGGACGCCCACCUGGUUCGAGACCUGGGACAGGUCCGACACCUACACCACUCUUGCUGUUGUUGCUUCUGCUGCAACCGUGUUCGCAGCGUUCAGGUGCUACAAGGCCAUGAACUGA